GGAAGUAAAGUCGUAACAAGGUUUCCGUAGGUGAACCUGCGGAAGGAUCAUUAUUGUAUAACCGAGGUGCGAGGGCUGUCGCUGACCCGAAAGGUCGUGCACGCCCGAGUGCCCUCACACACAUCCAUCUCACCCCUAUGUGCACCACCGCGUGGGUCCCCCUUUGGCUUGUUCGGAGGGGGGCUUACGUUUUCACACAAACUCUGUAUGCAGUGUAGAAUGUAUUUUUUGUUUUUGCGAUCACGCAAUCAAUACAACUUUCAACAACGGAUCUCUUGGCUCUC
rnacentral:misc_RNA from 1 species